rnacentral:RNase_P_RNA from 1 species
AGGCAGACUGUCGCGGGUCGGGAAAGCCGGCGCGAGGAAAGUCGGGACAGCACAGAGCACCAUACUUCUUAACAGGAAGGUGCCCGCAAGGGCAACAGCAAGUGCCACAGAAACAUACCGCCUAGGUCCCCGUUCGCGAGGAUGACAUGGGUAAGGGUGAAAACGCGAGGUAAGAGCUCACGCAUCGGGUGGCGACAUUCCGAUGAGGUAAACCUUAUGGGCUGCAAGUCCAAGUAUAGAGACAACGAAGCCUUCGGGCUUCAAGAGGGCUGCUCGUCCGCGUCUCAGGGUAGGGCGCUUGAGCCUGCGGGCGACCGCAGGUCUAGAGAAAUGACAGUCACCCCGCAAGGGGAACAGAAUCCCGCUUAUUCGUC